ensembl:lncRNA
CUUGAAACUGAUUCAGUUUCUGCCCAUAUCAGAGUCCUUUCAUGGAGCCAUUCCUAUUCAAAAUAAAGUGCUUUAAGAAAAGCACCGUGGUGGGGUUUAAAGUAAUCCAAAAAGUAUGGGGUGGCUUAGAAUUUUUGUUACAGCUAAAAGGGCCAAAUUCAGGACAGGAGGAGAACAGAAAUUAUGCUUCUCUGUACAUACUAAGCCUUUUUUGACCUAAGGCAUUUAUCCCAAAGAACAGGAGGCUUUACCAUCUCUCACAGGGUUUGCGGUAAGGGUGGUACUUCUCUACUUCCCACCAAGAUUUGCUUCGUUACAAGGUAUCACUCAAAAUUAUUCUGAAUUAACUCUCUCUCUGGGAAUGGUCUCUCUCAUGAUAGCCACAGUCAUUUCUUGAUGUCUAAAAUAUAGUUCUGAAAAUAUUGUCCAUUUAUUACCUCAGUACCAGCAGUUGUAUUCAGAUAUAACUGUCCCUUAAGUCAUGAAAACUGUUUUUUUCUAAUACCAAACCAAACACAGAUGUAGUUGUCAGAAAUGUAGAGUGUUCAUGAAUGGUGUUUAUCCUGUAAGUGACAGCCAGGCAUAUGUUAGAAAAUUAUUUACUUAAAUUACAAGAUUGUCAAGGGGCCAAGCAAGAGCUAUUAAGAAAAAUGCCAUUGUUCUGGGCACCACACACAAAGAGUAGCAGAGGAGACAUCUAGGCUGCAGAACUCAGAAGCUCUUCCAAGUCCUAUCUCUGGGAGCAGGCAGUGGCUGCGUCCUCACUGCCCAGUGGACUCCAGUUUGGGGAGGUCCUCCAGCUGAAAGGUGGGACUGCUCUACAAAACAUCAGGCAUGGACUUCGCAUAGGCCCUAAGAGUGCCACAUUGUGCACUUACUGGUAAGUACAGCCAUAGCAGGAGAUUUAUUAUCCAAAAGAGAGUUGUGAUCUAAGUAAACAAGUUGGACAAUGGGCUGGAGAGAAGCGAUGGAAUACAUACUGAGCUGAGUGAUGUUUUGCAUAAGUCUUCUUAGUUUAAUGACAUUUGUUUAUUCGUUUGUUCAUUUUUCUCGAAAAGGAAGCAACACUUUCUUAAACUACUGGGGCGGGGUUUUGUUAGAUGGUGUUUUAGUGAACUGAAAGACAAAGGAUAGAAAGGAAAUAGCACAAGAGGAAGAAGCCUGGAACAGAAGUGGAAUGCAAUGAAAGCAAAGAGAGCACACAGGAAGAGACUACAGAAGGCUCCUACACAGUCUGAAUAGCACUGCAAGGCUGAACACAUGGAAAAGUUAUGUGAAUGCUUCACCUGGCAGCCAGCUUGAAACUCCAGCACAAGGAACCACUGUGACUUCAUUUGGACUUCAAAGGGAAAUGCCACAGUUCUGCUGAACAAAUGCUCGAGAGUGCUGAGAGGCAGCAGUGAAGAGGUUAAAUAUAUAUUAAUGUGGGCCAAGAUUCUAUUUUUUACCAAAACUUGAAUGCAUGAAGAAAUGUAAGUAGGAGGAAGAAGAGAAGGGAUGGAUCUGGGAGGUGAAAGGAAAAGUCACUUGCUCUGUAUCCAGGGUAAAUGUUUAGAAAUCACUGCUUAUAGACAUCAAAUGGUUUGGAAUAUCCUUAGAAAUGUGCUUUUCCCCCCAAGACAGACAUUUCUGAGAGGGGGGAGUGAAGUAGGGAGGGGAGAAGAAGGGAGAAUAGGGGUAUUCGCUGUCUUGCGGUACGUCUGGAAUCCUCUUAUCUCCAGCAAAACUGAGAACACCUGGACAACACUUGUCUUUUUCCCCCACCCACCUGUGCAAAUUGCUCAGCACAUUGCUUUUCAAAGCACUGUGCCUUAUGCCAGUCACAUCACAGAGAUCCAUUGUGACUUCUCUGAAUAUCAAAGUAAAACCAUUGCACAUCUUUGCACAAAUACUGAGGGGGGCGGUUGUGAAGGGGUUAAGAGAUCAAGUUCUGCUAUAAAGAUAACAGGGACUGGAGAACACGCAGCAGAUGUUAUAUGUGGAGGCACUUAAGUUUACAGUCCCACCUGUGUCCAUUUAAUACCUUUAAAAACAAUCUCCUGUUCAUUUGUGAAGGAGAAUAGAAAAUCGAUGUUCCAAUCUCAGCAUCUGCUCACAACAUCCACAUCCCACAUGAGGAAAGGGAGGAGAUGAUGGGAUGAGCAGACAAGACAGGAGGGCUGAAGCUGAGAUUUAAGAAUAUAAAUAUACGGAGAUUUAUGCAAGUACACAUCCCAAUGUGGAAAGUGAGCCAUGCUUUUGUAUGCAAGGCAACUCAUGCCCUGUGCUGGGGAACAGCAGCCCGAUCUUAAUGCUAGUGUUUAAAUGUCUUAAGAGCAGUAAGAAC